UACGUAGGCAGCGAGCGUUGUUCGGAAUUACUGGGCGUAAAGCGUGUGUAGGCGGUGCUCUAAGUUCGGUGUGAAAUCUCCUGGCUUAACUGGGAGGGUGCGCCGGAAACUGGAGUGCUCGAGCGUGGGAGAGGAAAGCGGAAUUCCUGGUGUAGCGGUGAAAUGCGUAGAUAUCAGGAGGAACACCUGUGGUGUAGACGGCUUCCUGGACCAUAGCUGACGCUGAGACACGAAAGCGUGGGGAGCGAACAGG
rnacentral:rRNA from 1 species